CAUGUAGGCGGAUAUGCAAGCUUGGUGUGAAAGGCAGGGGCUUAACUCCUGGACUGCGUUGAGAACUGCAUAACUAGAGUAACUGAGGGGCAACCGGAAUUCCAGGUGUAGGGGUGAAAUCUGUAGAUAUCUGGAAGAACACCAAUGGCGAAGGCAGGUUACCAGCAGAUUACUGACGCUGAGGUGCGAAGGUGCGGGGGGCAAACAG
rnacentral:rRNA from 1 species